rnacentral:rRNA from 1 species
UACGAAGGGUGCAAGCGUUACUCGGAAUUACUGGGCGUAAAGCGUGCGUAGGUGGUUUGUUAAGUCUGUUGUGAAAGCCCCGGGCUCAACCUGGGAAUGGCAAUGGAUACUGGAUAGCUAGAGUGUGAUAGAGGAUGGUGGAAUUCCCGGUGUAGCGGUGAAAUGCGUAGAGAUCGGGAGGAACAUCAGUGGCGAAGGGCGGCCAUCUGGAUCAACACUGACGGCUGAGGCACGAAAGCGUGGGGAGCAAACAGGG